UGCUUUCUUCAUGCCAAAAAAACAUCACAUUUGAAAGUGAAAUUGCUAAAAAAUAAAUCUUGGUAGUAGCAGAAUCUAGCAACAAACUGAGAUAGGUGGCGAACCUCAUGCUGAUACCUUUUAAGGGAUUACAAUUGAUGUGGGGGAAAAUAUCAAUGGUGUAGUAUCUCGUCGAACCAUCACGCCUUCAUAUCACCGGCACUAUUGAGCUCACCCGAGGUGUGUCAUCAUAAGGAUCUCCAAUUGGUUCGGGGUAUGUUGCUUUCUCCAUCUCGCCUUUGGGCGAAGUAACUUAAGCCUUGUCAGAAUGUCUCAAGGAUUCAACCUCUACUAGUCAUAUAUAUACAUGGAAACUACCAAUUGCGAGUUUCUCUCUUACGAUUGCGGGAUAUUCUCCGGAUGGCUCCCUCUCCCAUUAAAUCUCCUAUGUCUUCGGGAUAUACUUUCAUACUUAGCUUUUCGAAGAUCUCGGCGUGAUCUUCUCACACGGCUCUCCAUUAUUCAUCUAUAUAAAUGCCGCUCCCCUGUUAUUAAAAGGUAUGCUCAGUAUUCACACGCCGGAUACAAUUUUGUGCCAUUUGAAUUAUCUUCUUGUCGCCUUGAUCUGAUUCGUACGCCGGAAGGGUUUUGAGCGGUCUAGCCCCAGCCGUUUACUUUUGUUCAUCUGCACAGGUCGCCCAAGUAUUUGUAGAGAAGCAGUUCGACUGUUGAUUAUCCGUCCCAGAUUUUCACCACCACAACCAUCGUAUAUGUAAAAUCAUGCCAACCAUAUUAGGUUGAACUAUAAUCCGAAGGUACCAAAAUCUA
rnacentral:lncRNA from 1 species